rnacentral:lncRNA from 1 species
CUUGUGCAUCUAUGUAUGCACAUAAGCAUAUAAUUUUACAAAAAUGGGUUCAUUUCAUAUUUGCUGGGGGUGUUACUAGUGCCAUUUUUCCUUGCCUCCCACGAUUUGGUAUAUUUCCUUUCACAGUUUUCUCCAUCCUUAUAUAACAGAGUCGCCAGAUUUAGCAAAUAAAAAUACAGGACAUUCAGUCAAAUUUGAACUUCAGAGAAACAAAGAAUUGUUUUUAGUGAGAAAUGCUGGUGGUUAGCUUCAUCAAAAGGAAAACAAGUGAGAAAUUUCAGCUAGAUUUGGAAAAGGAAAGGUGCUACAAAUUCAAAAGAUUUCACUUUUAACACUGGCUUUCCUGCCUACUUGCUGUGGUGGUUUUGUGAAAAGUGAUGGGUUUUAUUCGUUGGGCUUUAAAAGAAAAGGUUUGGCAGAACUAAAAACAAAACUCACGUAUCAUCUCAAUAGAUACAGAAAAGGCUUUUGAUAAAAUUCAACUUGACUUCAUGUUAAAAACCCUCGACAAACCAGGCAUUGAAGGAACAUACCUCAAAAUAAUAAGAGCCAUCUAUGACAAAACCACAGCCAACAUCAUACUGAAUGAGCAAAAGCUGGAGCAUUACCCUUGAGAAGUAGAACAAGGCACUUCAGUCCUAUUCAACAUAGUACUGGAAGUCCUCACCACAGCAAUCAGGCAAGAGAAAGAAAUAAAAGGCAACCAAAAAGAGAGGAAGUCGAAGUAUCUCUGUUUGCCGACGAUAUGAUUCUAUAUCUAGAAAACCCCAUGAUCUUGGCCCAAAAGCUCCUAGAUCUGAUAAACAACUUCAGCUAACUUUCAGGAGACAAAAUCAAUAUACAAAAUACAGUAGCAUUUUUAUACACCAACGACAUCCAAGCUGAGAGCCAAAUCAAGAAUGCAAUCCUAUUCACAAUUGCCACAAAAAGAAUAAAAUACCUAGGAAUACAGCUAACCAGGGAGAUGAAAGAUCUCUACAACAAAAAUUACAAAACACUGCUGAAAGAAAUCAGAGAUGACACAAAUGGAAAAACAUUCCAUGCUUAUGGAUAGGAAGAAUCAAUAUUGUUAAAAUGGCCAUACUACCCAAAGCAAUUUAUAGAUUCAAUGCUAUUCCUAUCAAACUACCAAUAACAUUCUUCACAGAAUCAGAAAAAAAAGCAUUAAAAUUUAUUUGAAACCAAAAAAGAGCCCCAAAAGCCAAAGCAAUCCUAAGCAAAAAGAACAAAGCUGGAGGCAUCGCAUUACCCAACUUCAAACUAUACUACAGGGCUACAGUAACCAAAACUGCAUGAUACUGGUACAAAAGCAUGGUACUGGUACAAAAGCAGACACAUAGAUCAAUGGAACAGAAUAGAGAGCCCAGAAAUAAAGCUACACACCUACAACCAUCUAAUCUUUGACAAAGUUGACAAAAAUACGCAAUGGGGAAAGAAUUCCCCAUUCAGUAAGUGGUACUGGGAUAACUAGCUAGCCAUAUGCAGAAGAUUGAAACUGAACCACUUCCUUACACCAUAUGCAAAAAUCAACUCAAGAUGGAUUAAAGACUUAAAUGUAAAACCCCAAACUAUAAAAACUCUGGAAGAUAACCUAGGCAAUACCAUUCUGGACAUAGGAACGGAAAAAGAUUUCAUGACAAAGAUCCCAAAAAUAAUUGUAACGAAAGCAAAAAUUGACAAAUGGGACAUGAUUAAACAGAACUACCAUUUGACUCAGCAAUCCCAUUAUUGGUUAUAUACCCAAAGGAAUCUAAAUCAUUCUGUCAUAAAGAAAUAUAUACACAAAUGUUCACGGCAGCACUAUACACAAUCGCAAAGUCAGGGAAUCAAACUAAAUGUCCAUCAGUGGUAGAAAGGAUAAAGAAAAUGUGGUGGCAGGGAGUGGUGGCUCAUGUCUGUAAUCCCAGCACUUUGGGAGGCUGAGGCGGGUGGUUCACCUGAGGUCAGGAGUUUGAGACCAGCCUGGCCAACAUGGCGAAACUCCGUCUCCACUAAAAAUACGAAAAUUAGCCAGGCGUGGUGGCAAGCGCCUGUCAUCCCAGCUACUUGGGAGGCCUAGGCGUAAGAAUCGCUUGAACCUGGAAGGUGGUGGUUGCAGUGAGCCGAGAUCCUGCCACUGCACUCCAGCCUGGGCAACCAAGCGAGACUCUGCCUUAAAAAAAAAAAAAAGAAAAUGUGGCACAUAUACACCAUGGAAUACUAUGCAUCCAUAAAAAAGAAUGGGAUCAUGUCCUGUGCAGCAACAUGGAUGGAGCUGGAAGCCAUUAUCCUAAAUGAACUCACUCAGAAACAGAAAACCAAAUACCACAUGUUCUCACUUAUAAGUAGAAGCUAAACAUUGAGUACACAUGGAUACAAAGAAGGGAACCGCAGACACUGGGGCCUACCUGAGGUUGGAGCAUGGAAGGAGGGUGAGGAUCAAAAAACUACCUAUCUGGUACUAUGCUUUUUAUCUGGAUGAUGAAAUAAUCUGUACAACAAACCCUGGUGACAUGCAAUUUACCUAUAUAGCAAGCCUACACACGUGCCCCUGAACCUAAAAAAAAAGUUAAAAGAAAAACGUUUGGAUUAUUUUCCCUCUUUCGAACAAAGACAUUGGUUUGCCCAAGGACUACAAAUAAACCAACGGGAAAAAAGAAAGGUUCCAGUUUUGUCUGAAAAUUCUGAUUAAGCCUCUGGGCCCUACAGCCUGGAGAACCUGGAGAAUCCUACACCCACAGAACCCGG